AAUCAACGCUGGCGGCGUGCCUAACACAUGCAAGUCGAACGCGAAAAGGGGCAACCCUGAGUAGAGUGGCGUCCGGGUGAGUAACACGUGGAUAAUCUACCUGCGGGUGGGAAUAACUUUCCGAAGGGAAGCUAAUACUGCAUAACACUAAGUGGUGGCAUCACCAAAUAGUCAAAGUGGGGGAUCGCAAGACCUCACGGCCUGUAGAGGAGUCCGCGGCCGAUUAGCUAGNGGUGAGGUACAGCUCACCAAGGCGACUAUCGGUAGCCGGCCUGAGAGGGCGAACGGCCACACUGGCACUG
rnacentral:rRNA from 1 species